GGAGAGGUGUCCGAGCUGGUCUAAGGAGCACGAUUGGAAAUCGUGUGUGGGUAACACCACCGGGAGUUCGAAUCUCCCCCUCUCCGCCA
rnacentral:tRNA from 1 species